rnacentral:rRNA from 1 species
UACGGAAGGUCCGGGCGUUAUCCGGAUUUAUUGGGUUUAAAGGGAGCGCAGACGGCCUGUUAAGCGUGCAGUGAAAUCCGGGGGCUCACCCUUCGGAGUGCUGCGUGAACUGGCGGGCUUGAGUGGGCCGGAAGAGGGCGGAAUUCGUGGUGUAGCGGUGAAAUGCUUAGAUAUCACGAGGAACUCCGAUUGCGCAGGCAGCCCUCUGUAGCCCUACUGACGUUCAUGCUCGAAGGUGCGGGUAUCGAAC